rnacentral:lncRNA from 1 species
UUUUUUUUUGUUGGGCCAUAUCGAAGCAAAGGAUGACCUCAAGAGCCAUGCGCAGCUGCACUAGUGUUGGAGAAGAUGGUUUUGCUCCAAGCACGAAGCCGCUGGCUAGUCUUCUUGAGCUUGUGAAAAAGAAGCUGGCAAGGACCAGGUUGGGUGGAAGCUUCAUUCCAAGCUUUUUGCACCACAAGCUUGAAUCCAGGCAUCUUGGUCCCAAAAUUCUCAAAUUAAGCAGACAGCUACAAGUGCAAGCUACAUCUCAUAACCGGGUUGUGCAUCCUAUAUAAGGACAUGUACUCGACUAUUAUCAUAGUUCAGAUGUGGUUAUUGAACUUUAAAAGACGUCGUGUACAAUCGUACUGAUUUUUUAUGAAAUAGGUUUUUGUCUCGCUUUAUAUUAUUAAGCAAGGCAGUCAAAAGAUACAAGGAUCGCGGUAAUCGUACCGCCACAUAAACCAUCUGGAUGAUAUAUUAGAUGACACGUCAGAUAGUGGUUUCACAGGCACCAAGAUUGCUAAAUAAAUUAAAAAUGUAACGAAAACAAAAGGUAAAAAUGCAAGCACAGAAACUAUGUAGCCCAAGAUAAACUAUGAAACAUGAAUUUUAUUUCUUUAUUCACGAAGCAAAACUUUGAAACGACCAGCAAAAUGCAAAAUCGAUAAUAAAUAAUCCAGAAACCAGAUAAAUUCUACCCACACUCAAUAGAUACAGAUGGAUGAAAUAUGAAUUACAGCCGAAGAGAGACCCUUUUUUUCUUCCAUGGAAAAUAUUGUAAUAAGCAUAAUCUGAAAUAAUAAUAAAAUUAAGCAAACUGAAGGCAAGAUCGACUGAUGAUGGCAUGGCGUAUGCAGAGAGGCGACGGCGUCUAG